CAAUCUGAUUGGACUACUUGCACAGCUUCUGGAGUUACAGUGAAUGAUGAAGUCAUCAAAGUUUUUAAAGACAUGAAAGGAAAUCUUCUACACAAGAGGAGAUAAAAAAAAAGGAAGAAAGCUUAAGUGAUGACAAAAGCCAAGUAAUUGUAAAGGAAGCAAAGCAGAUCAUAGUGGGGGACAUUGGUGACACUGUAGAGGACCCCUACACAUCUUCUGUGAAGUUGCUACCUCUGAAUGAUUGCCGAUAUGCUUUGUACAAUGCCACAUAUGAAACAAAAGAGUCUCAGAAAGAAGACCUAGUAUUUAUUUUCUGGACUCCCGAAAGUGCACCUUCAAAAAGCAAGAUGAUUUAUGCUAGCUCUAAAGAUGCCAUUAGAAAGAAAUUUACAGGUAUUAAAUAUAAGUGGCAAGUAAAUGGCUUGGAUGAUGUUAAGGACCAUUCGACACUUGGAGAGAAAUCAGGAAGCAAUGUAGUAGUUUCACUUGAAGGAAAAGCAUUAUAAAAUGCCAAUCAAGUGCCACCUGGAUCUUAAGGAGCUUCCAUUUCUCCAGCUCAGUCCUUAGAAUAGUAUUAGGUCUUGUUUUUUUUGUUUUAUUCCCUUUUCACUGGGUCCUAACAACCUAUCAGUGAUUGCCAUUAGACUGUUUAAUAUUGUUACUUUUAUGUAGAACCUAAGGAAUGCCUUCCGGUCAUAAUUUAGCCAAAAUAACUGGUAAUAUGCCUCCCUUGUCACAAGCACUACAAUGAAUGUGUUUGUCAAUGUGAAUAGCUUAGAAUACUGCUAAGGGUAAGCUAAUUGAAUGCCUUGAAAGUAUCCAGCAGUCAGACGGUAAACUUUUUUCAGUAUUAUUUAAAGUUGCACUUGAUUGCAAUCUGUGAGGCUCAAGCAUUCAAACACCUCACCUGCCUUGGCAAGCCUAUUUUUGUGACAUGGCAGCACGGAUAUAACACUAUGCAUUAAAAGCACUUUUUUGAGACAAGUUUAAUCUCCCAAAAGGAAUUCCAAUUAAGUUUUGUUAACUUUCAAUUUAUCCUAGUACCUCAGUGUCCAUUCCUGUUACCUGGAGAUCUUAAAAGAAGUAGCUGUUAUCAGGUGGG